rnacentral:misc_RNA from 1 species
AGAGAGUUGGUCUUACUUGCUCCCACAACUUAGAUUAUCAAUAUAUGAAAAUAAAAUCUGUCUCUAGAGUAGUAGAGAGAGAAAAUUCUCUCUAGAAUAUUUUUAGAUUCUUUCAGUUUUCUCCAUUUAGUCGAGUAUUCUCCGAUGGCCUCCCAUGCCUUUCUGGGAAGGGAAUGAUGUUUUCCUUCGGCUGGGUUUACUCAGUUGACAUGUAUAGUUUUGGUUUUAGUCUUUAAUUGGGCAGAUUUAUUUGCUUAAUGGUGAGAAUGUUGUGUUGAAAAUCUACCCUGGGUUAAGCGAUGGUCCCCUGCUGUGUGGAUAGCCUUCGACUGGGAGGGAUUAUCGAACUCGGGAUUGUAAAGCCGGCGUUUAAUGAGUGGUUUGCCGGCUGAGUGGUUUGCCGGCUUCCUAUAUCUAGAUGAUGAGAAUGAGCCAUCUGUUUCUCUUUAUGGUGGAGUUAGUUUGCUGGAAUGUGGUGGAAGGAAGCUCCCUGCGUGGCUUUUUGUGGCCUGCUCUAGCCUGGUCCUGCUAUCAACGGUGCCGUAAAGAUAAAAGCUUCUAGGUUUGCUUCGGUGCUUCAGUCAGGGUUGUUAGGUUAUGGGCUGGGUCCAUUAUUUGGGCUUCUUCUUUGAAUAGGAGUUUGAUAUGGGUUUAACGUAUUUAUUUGUGUACUGAAAACUUUGUAUUUGUCUACUUAAUGGCCCAUGAAAUGCAAUUUACAUUUACCGAUUAAAAAUAAAACCUUAGAUUAUCA